GCGCCCGUAGCUCAGCCCGGAUAGAGCGCUGCCCUGCGGAGGCAGAGGUCGCAGGUUCUAAUCCUGCCGGGCGUACCA
rnacentral:tRNA from 1 species